CAGGAAACGGGCUCUCACCAGACAGUGAAUCCGCCAGCACCUUGAUCUUGGACUUCCCAGCCAAAAGAAUGAGAAAAUUUCACAGAGGAAAUGGAUUGUACCUGUUCGACGGAAUGUUUAUGCAACUCCUGGCAUGUGUUUCUACAGAGCUGAUUUUCUUUAAAAGUGAAUGACUCAAUGGGUGGAGGUGUUCCUGGCGGGACAGAGUCACAGUCACAGGUAGGUUGUCCUUGCCUGCCUGACACUUGCAGGGUGGUAUGUGGUUUUGCUGGGCUGCCUGAACUGUCGAAUUGUUUAGUAUCACUGGCAAGACAGACUGAGUCUUUCAAAUGAGCAAGUUGGGGUGUGCAGCAAGUUCGUCCAGCAACUUCUGUAGAUGCUUUUUCAUAGGAGCCUUGAGGGCCAAAGGCUGGAGUAGUACCUAAGAUGGGGAAAGCAGGUGAACACAUGUCUGUGGUAGGCCUGUCAUUAUCAUCAGGCGCAACCGUAUUUAAAGGAGUAUAAAGUAAUAUGGAUGAAGAAAGGCCCGUCUUUGUAUGCUGGCUUUGUGAGUUUGGCCUUUUGGGAUGUGAUUUUCCUGGUAGAACAAUAAGGUCCUCUUCUAAGUCCUCCAUUUCUGUAUCCAUGCGUUUAGGACUCAGUUCCUCUGGAAAAAUACAGCUGCCCUCUUUAAGGUGUCUCUCUCCAAACAUUUUUGACUCAAAGGGCUCCACUGGUUUUUCUGAGCAGGACUUCACUUUUUCAAGCUUAAGAGGUCCAAAGUCUUCAUCAGGUAACUGAAAGUCUGUGAUACUGAGAAAAGACAGUUGUUGCUUUAAACUCAGCAUUCCAUCCCUAUGAAAUGGAGCCGUGAAAGCAUCAUCAUCCAAGGAUAAAUAAGCACUAUUACUCCAAGAAAGGGAAUCCUCUUUUUGAUGACGACUUUUCU
rnacentral:lncRNA from 1 species